UACGUAGGGGGCAAGCGUUGUCCGGAAUCAUUGGGCGUAAAGCGCGCGUAGGCGGCCCGGUAAGUCCGCUGUGAAAGUCCAGGGCUCAACCCUGGAAUGCCGGUGGAUACUGUCGGGCUCGAGUCCGGAAGAGGCGAGUGGAAUUCCUGGUGUAGCGGUGAAAUGCGCAGAUAUCAGGAGGAACACCGAUGGCGAAGGCAGCUCGCUGGGACGGUACUGACGCUGAGGAGCGAAAGCGUGGGGAGCAAACGGG
rnacentral:rRNA from 1 species